UUUGAAUGACUUGAAUACUAUGUCUGGUUUUAAAUGGUUUUGCUUGUUGCACAGAUAAUUUGCAUGAUCACAUAUAUAUUAAAAUAGAAUUUGUUAAAAAAAUAUAUGAUUAUGAAUUUAUGAUAGAGAUGAACAUGUGUAUACAAACAAAUAGAGAAAAUGAGCAAGUACCUCAAACAAAAUAUGCUGAGCAGCCUCGCAAACUAAGCUUUGGAAGGAAAGGCGCAGUCAUUCUAAGCUUGCAUAUCACAUCAUAUAAAAUUAUGUCCAGCAAACGAUGUUUUCUAGGCUACGCAUCUCUUCGAAGUAAAUGUAAAUUCGCUGUUCUAUGUUGUGGUGCGCAAGAGAAUGUCUGUCUGAUUUGUUGAAUCUUCUUAGAUGUAAUAGUAGUUUGCACACAUCCAUGGUCCAUGUGGCAUCCGAUAUCUUAAAAUAGACAAUAUAUUAUAUAUUAAAAUAAAAAUCAAGUAUUAUGGUUAAGUCAUAUGAAUUUUAAUAUUUGGUAUUAUAAUUUUACUACACAAGUGUCCUUAAGUAAAUAGAAAUAACAUGUUAAGCUGCACAGUGACAAUAAUAACAUUUUAUUUCCAGUAGCUAUAUGUCAACUGUUGUUUACCAUACAAUAUAUUAUAACCAAGAAUGUUAAAUGUAAUAAAAAAAUCAUCAGAUACGUAUUUAUGUGUUUUACAGCCGUAUUGCUGAAGUGGUUAUAGUGGUUAAAUUCUCCACACAGUUCUAUUAUUCAAUAAAUCAACAAUAAUAUACUUUACCUCACCCAACAUAAACAUCUAUUAUUGUGUAUUCAAACAAGUUAUAUAUACGGCUAACAACACAUCAAAAUCAAUAUUAUACAUACUAAAAAUAGUUAUCAAACACAUCCAACGAUUAUUUCUAGUUUUAUUUUAAAUGAUAAUUGAUUUUGUUACCUAAAACGAUGGAUUGACAAUUUGCUUUUACAACGGCAGUAACGGAAUAUCCGAAUUACGUUGAAACCGGAAGUCACCAGUCUACAACGGCAUUUUGGUCUAUUGGAAAGUGGAGAAUAGGCUAUGCAGUUUCUAAGGAUAUGAUGAAUUGAUCGAAAAUAGGUGCCUUGAAAUGCUUGCUGUGUCACCAACAGAACAAAUGGAUUACCAUUGCAUUUUGACAAUUUUAUUAUGGGAAGCUGUUCUGCGAAGGCAAGAGCUGGGCAUCAUACAAGCCAUUCUAUCAAUCAAAACUGACAGUUUUGGUUUACAGAAAUCAACAAAGGGGGAUUCAUGAACUAUCAAAUUUCCAAGCUAUACACACAGUUAUUAUCUGUGGUGAUCUUUAUUGGUUCUGUUUGUUUACUUGGAUGGAACAUGUGUGAACUUUUAUAGAACUUUGAAAAGUCUAUAUAUGUCUAUCUAUAAACAAAAAUCAGCUAUUCUAUAAUAAGAUCAGAUGUGCAAACAAUGUCAAAGGGUUGUUAAAUUAACAAUUUGAAGGCAAUUAUGCUGAAAAAAUAUGAAAGUUCCCAUGCAAAUUUUGUCUGUAUAUCACCAAGUGUCUGCCGAUAAUUGUCAAACAACUAGUAAUACAAAACUUACCACAAGUAUGUAAAAGCACUAAGUACCUGUGAUAAUUUUUAGUAAGAUAGUGUAAUUCUAAACAGUAGCAAAUAGCUUGUUUAGUAAAUGCAUAAUGCAAUUAAUAUGAUUUCCGUUCUAUUGUGUAAUUAAUAAAUUGGUUGUUACUUGUUAAUCCAUGAUAAAUGUUUUAUGGCUAGUACAAAACCAGCAAUGUUAAUUUUGUAAAAGGUAAUACAAUAACACCACUUUGUAAUUUCAUAUACGUAAAUAUUCUUGAAAUGUAGGUUGAUGACAGUGUUUUAGUUUUACUUAUUUUGUAACUAUUUUUUUAUGUGCAAAUAAAUGAUGUGAAGUGUUUUGUAUCUCCACACAAUACCACAUACCUUUUUA